rnacentral:ribozyme from 1 species
UUUUGUCUAUAUAUCUGUUGAGUGAGAGAGAGAGAGAAAAAUAACACUGUGACCACGCGUGAAAUAUACGCUUUUUCCCAUAUAUAUAUAUAUAUAUCUCAUCUCCAUAAUCUGAAGGUUUUCGACGUAUAUAAAGUAAAGAGACUUGUUC